GAGGGAAGAAGGUUUUAGGAUUGUAAACCUCUGUCUUUGGGGACGAAAAAUGACGGUACCCAAGGAGGAAGCUCCGGCUAACUACGUGCCAGCAGCCGCGGUAAUACGUAGGGAGCGAGCGUUGUCCGGAAUUACUGGGUGUAAAGGGAGCGUAGGCGGGAUCGCAAGUCAGAUGUGAAAACUAUGGGCUUAACCCAUAAACUGCAUUUGAAACUGUGGUUCUUGAGUGAAGUAGAGGUAAGCGGAAUUCCUAGUGUAGCGGUGAAAUGCGUAGAUAUUAGGAGGAACAUCAGUGGCGAAGGCGGCUUACUGGGCUUUAACUGACGCUGAGGCUCGAAAGCGUGAGGAGCAAACAGGAUUAGAUACCCUGGUAGUCCACGCCGUAAACGAUGAUUACUAGGUGUGGGGGGACUGA
rnacentral:rRNA from 1 species